UACGUAGGGGGCAAGCGUUGUUCGGAUUCACUGGGCGUAAAGGGUGCGUAGGCGGUCGGGUAAGUCUGAUGUGAAAUCUCCAAGCUCAACUUGGAAAUGGCAUCGGAUACUAUUCGGCUGGAGGAAUGGAGGGGAGACUGGAAUACUUGGUGUAGCAGUGAAAUGCGUAGAUAUCAAGUGGAACACCAGUGGCGAAGGCGGCUCACUGGCCCGAUACUGACGCUGAGGCACGAAAGCGUGGGGAGCAAACAGG
rnacentral:rRNA from 1 species